GUCGAACGCUUUGUGGUUCAACUGAUUUGAAGAGCUUGCUCAGAUAUGACGAUGGACAUUGCAAAGAGUGGCGAACGGGUGAGUAACACGUGGGAAACCUACCUCUUAGCAGGGGAUAACAUUUGGAAACAGAUGCUAAUACCGUAUAACAAUGACAACCGCAUGGUUGUUAUUUAAAAGAUGGUUCUGCUAUCACUAAGAGAUGGUCCCGCGGUGCAUUAGCUAGUUGGUAAGGUAAUGGCUUACCAAGGCGAUGAUGCAUAGCCGAGUUGAGAGACUGAUCGGCCACAAUGGGACUGAGACACGGCCCAUACUCCUACGGGAGGCAGCAGUAGGGAAUCUUCCACAAUGGGCGAAAGCCUGAUGGAGCAACGCCGCGUGUGUGAUGAAGGGUUUCGGCUCGUAAAACACUGUUGUAAGAGAAGAAUGACAUUGAGAGUAACUGUUCAAUGUGUGACGGUAUCUUACCAGAAAGGAACGGCUAAAUACGUGCCAGCAGCCGCGGUAAUACGUAUGUUCCAAGCGUUAUCCGGAUUUAUUGGGCGUAAAGCGAGCGCAGACGGUUAUUUAAGUCUGAAGUGAAAGCCCUCAGCUCAACUGAGGAAUUGCUUUGGAAACUGGAUGACUUGAGUGCAGUAGAGGAAAGUGGAACUCCAUGUGUAGCGGUGAAAUGCGUAGAUAUAUGGAAGAACACCAGUGGCGAAGGCGGCUUUCUGGACUGUAACUGACGUUGAGGCUCGAAAGUGUGGGUAGCAAACAGGAUUAGAUACCCUGGUAGUCCACACCGUAAACGAUGAGUGCUAGGUGUUUGAGGGUUUCCGCCCUUAAGUGCCGCAGCUAACGCAUUAAGCACUCCGCCUGGGGAGUACGACCGCAAGGUUGAAACUCAAAGGAAUUGACGGGGACCCGCACAAGCGGUGGAGCAUGUGGUUUAAUUCGAAGCAACGCGAAGAACCUUACCAGGUCUUGACAUCCCUUGACAACUCCAGAGAUGGAGUGUUCCCUUCGGGGACAAGGUGACAGGUGGUGCAUGGUUGUCGUCAGCUCGUGUCGUGAGAUGUUGGGUUAAGUCCCGCAACGAGCGCAACCCUUAUUACUAGUUGCCAGCAUUCAGUUGGGCACUCUAGUGAGACUGCCGGUGACAAACCGGAGGAAGGUGGGGAUGACGUCAAAUCAUCAUGCCCCUUAUGACCUGGGCUACACACGUGCUACAAUGGCGUAUACAACGAGUUGCCAACCCGCGAGGGUGAGCUAAUCUCUUAAAGUACGUCUCAGUUCGGAUUGUAGGCUGCAACUCGCCUACAUGAAGUCGGAAUCGCUAGUAAUCGCGGAUCAGCACGCCGCGGUGAAUACGUUCCCGGGUCUUGUACACACCGCCCGUCACACCAUGAGAGUUUGUAACACCCAAAGCCGGUGGGGUAACCUUCGGGAGCCAGCC
rnacentral:rRNA from 1 species